rnacentral:lncRNA from 1 species
CUGCCCUGGGAGAUUGCCCGUGUGUGGCAAUAAUGGCUUGAAUCCCUGGCCCCACACAUCUCUAAAUGCCUUGAGCAGGGGGGAGGCUUUGGUGCCCCCUCACCCCUUUGAGAACCACCUAAGAGGACUACUCCUUCUAGAAACCUUCUCCCAUGGACGUGGUUAGACUUUCUCCCUGCUGAAUUUGGAUUAAUGAGCAAACAACCCGAGGAAGGAGGGAGAUGGGGUCCGAACCCAGGUGCCCUGGGCCCCAAGGUGAACACGAGUCCUCCUGCUCUCCUUCCCUUCCCCUCACGGAGACGCCUCUCUGAGCUGGGGAGUCUUGUUUGGGAUGUGGAUGGAAGGGAAGGCUGGGCAUCUGGAGCACCAAGGCACUUUUAGAGGAGCUCCCGCAAGGUGAGUGGGGGCUUUGGUUGAGUACAUAGGGCUUUUGGCAGACAGGAAGUGGAAAGCGUGGCCAGCCAUCUUUGUGAUUCGGGGUAGUCUGCUGCUGGCCCUUCCCUUUCCCCAGAGCUCCAGACGGCUCUCAGGACAGUUGGUAGCAGCUCCCUCCUGGCUGCACCAGGAGACCAGAGAGCCGAGCUGGCUAUGAGUCAGCCCCGUGGCCCAGCAGCGGGAUAAGGGGAUUCUCAAGCCAGCCUGGUCUGCCCAGCAGCAGGCUGGGUGUGUGGCUGCCUGGGAGCAGUGGACACUGGGUUCCAAACACCUUCCGCUGGGGUCUUCAGAUGACCUCUGCCUUUAUCAGGUGACUUAUGAAUCUAGAAAGAGCCCGCUUGACUGACAAGAGAAUGCUCAGGUGACAUGCAUAGAAUAGUUACUGAAGCCACUUGUACAUUCUGAUAGCAGUGACUUUAGAAAACUCCAGAAGUGGAGGUGUAGAAAAUGUUGGAAGAGCCAUUUCCACAGUGGGCUGCUGUGCAGUUGAGACCCAUGAUCCCAGUUCACCAAGCACUGAAGAGUGUGGUGAGCAUCCUGUGGGCAGCAGGUGAGGAACUUGGAUUCCUCCUGCUGUGUGUCCAGCUCUACAGCUGUUGCAACCCUGGAGCUAAGAGUAGUAAGGACUCCCUUAAAGGGAAAGGUAAG